UCUGCACCACAUCACUCUGCCACAUCACAGAGCGGUUUGUCGUGAUGCUGACCGAAAAAGAACAACAAACAGUCAGCCUUUAAACAACAGAUAGUCUUGGCUGUACAUGUAAGUCGACGAAUGGAUUCGCCUAUGGCAAUGGGUCUUACGUCACCAUUCGGCUUGGGCAGAGCGAUUAGUCUUGAUGAAGAAAAGAGGGUGACAGCUGCAUCAGGUAGUAUUCCUUUGGCAAAGCUGAACAGGCAGAAAAGAGGCCAUUCGCAGUUUCAUCAUUUUCCAGCAGGACUUUAAAAUGCUCAAAACGCCAGCUACUAGGGCCAGCACCUGAUCCUCUUGGAGCUUGUCUAAUGGCAUCGCAGAACAAUGGCCUUAUCAAGGUGUUUUGAGGCCAACUUCUGCGUUGCAUCUUCAGUAGACGGAGUCAAACCAUUGCUGGUUAAUCUAGAAAUUAAUCUGACAUGUACUGCUGUUGUAUUCUAGUGUAUUGUAUUGUAUUGUUGUAUUGUUCAUUAACAGCAACGUACUUGAUUAAAUGAAUAGACAACAGACUUUAGACAAUAGACAAUAGACUUUAGACAAUAAA